UCUGCAGAGUCACUGGCUGCACUGUCCCUCAGGAUGGAAUGGAGCUGGGUCAUCCUUUUCCUCCUGUCAGUAACUGCAGGUGUCCACUCUGAGGUCCAGCUGCAGCAGUCUGGGGCUGAGGUGGGGAGACCUGGGUCCUCAGUGAAGCUGUCCUGCAAGGCUUCUGGAUACAGCUUCACCAGCUACUAUAUGGGCUGGGUGAAGCAGAGUCCUGGGCAGGGGCUGGAGUGGAUUGGAUGGAUUUAUCCUGGAAGUGAUGAUACCAGCUAUAACCAGAAGUUCCGGGGCAAGGCCACACUGACUGCAGACACAUCCUCCGGCACAGCCCACAUGGAGCUCCGCAGCCUGACAGCUGAGGACUCUGCGGUCUAUUACUGUGCGAGAGAUGCACACUGCUGCACCCACAUCCUGAGUGUGUCAGAAACCCUGGGGGAGCAGGAAGCUGCCCUGGGACUGAGAAGGUUGGAUAUGGAGCUGCCUAGGAUACUGUGGAGUCCUCAGAGUGUGGAGUCUGGUGCUUUGGCAACAAGCUGGGCUCCUGCUCAGACAGCAUUGAGGCCAGAGCAGUGGGAUUCCAAGAUGAGGUCUGAGAUGGCUUAG